UACGUAGGGCGCAAGCGUUAUCCGGAAUUAUUGGGCGUAAAGAGCUCGUAGGCGGUUUGUCGCGUCUGCCGCGAAAGUCCGGGGCUCAACUCCGGAUCUGCGGUGGAUACGGGCAGACUAGAGGUAGGUAGGGGAGAAUGGAAUUCCCGGUGUAGCGGUGAAAUGCGCAGAUAUCGGGAGGAACACCGGUGGCGAAGGCGGUUCUCUGGGCCUUACCUGACGCUGAGGAGCGAAAGCGUGGGGAGCGAACAGG
rnacentral:rRNA from 1 species